AGACCCUACUCCACGCGAUGGCAUAUUUUAUUACAGCGAUUAUGUCAACUGCGACGUAGUGGACAUUGAGUUCCGUGGUCAUCAAUGCAUACUAUGGGCACAGAGACCAGUAAAAGACAACGUGCCACAGAACUGCAUCGACCACUUCGUUGACACCUGCGGCGUCGUGGUACCUGAACACAGCAGAGACCUCUGCCCUGAUGGAGAGGGUGACUACUAAUAAAUUCAUUGCUUCUCCAUGGAAA